rnacentral:lncRNA from 1 species
CUAGAACUACAGAAACGGCUCCCCCCCCCCCCAUCCCCCAUGUACUGUUCACCAUCCCCUUCGCCGAUUCAGUCCCAACUCGCCUGAAACUCAGGGGAGUUCACUCACACACGGGUCCCAUCCCUCCACGUCACUUUAAUCCAACGGAUUUCUGACAGAAAACAAGAAUAUUCCCUUUGAAUUUGCACGAUUUUUAUACUCUUGGGCGAUUUGCUGGAUGAAUGGGAACCGUGGAUGGAUGGAAAUCAAUCCAUGCCUUCCAUUUGUUCCUAAAAUCGUUCACAAAGGAUAGGAUUUCGGAUUCUAGGCAGAAGCUUCGAGAUCUUUUGAGGUUUAUAUAUAAGGUGAGUUCUUUUCUUGUUAAAAGAGGAAGAAAUUUUCAGAAAAUUAGAAGAGUAAAAUUCUAGGGUUCUUGGAGUUUUCCUUUUCUUCAGGCCUUUUCUUUUAAAUUUUAGUCUGCAUCUUUUCAGAAAAAAUGAAUAAAAAAAUAUUCAAAGUAUAGUCUGUGUUUUGAUUUUCGAUUCAAGUAUUAUUUCAUUUCGAAAGGAAUCAAAAAUUACAAAUCUCAGCAUUUCUCUUCGAUCUCUGGUUUUCAAGAAUGGUUUUGGAUUAAAGUUUAAGUUGGGGUUUGUGGCUGGGGUUCGGAAUUUUGGCGCUGUGGAUUUCUGUCCGAAAUUUUGGUUGCGAUUUGGAUUUGGUUGGCUGAUUUGCAGAGCUAUUGUUACUGUCGCUGAAUUUCUUCUCCUAUUCCAGAAUUUCAUUUGUUAUUUUCGUUGUUGUUCGGCUCUUAGGUGUGUACACAUCCAGCCGAAAAUUACUUUUCAAAUAUAAUCUGAGAAAUUGGAUAUUGAGUUCCAUAUUUGUGUUUGUUCAUUUAGACUCGGUAUGAUUCUGGUUGUUUAAAUGAUUUGGAUUCCUUUUUGUUUUGUGAUAUUGACUAUGUGUUUUUUAUAAUAAAAAAAAAAAAGAAGUAGUCGAAUAUUCAUUAAUAUCUGCUCGCACAUUUAUUUCAUGAUUGGAGAUUAUACCAUGUUUAAGUAAUAGUCUAUGUUUUGAGUCGAUUUUAAGAGUAGUAUGCUUUUCGAAUUCAACUGCUAUUUGGGCAUAUCAAUUUUUGAAAGAAUCUAGCUCUUUGUGCACUUGAAUGAGGGUAGUAAUUAUGAUGCUUAACUCUGCCGUUUUAUUUUAUUGAAGGCAGGAUGUUGGAAAUUGCGGAGUAUAAUGUAUUAUGUCGUUUUUUUUUAUCAAAUCAUCGAGGGCGUUUUCACAUUAUAAAAUCAAUGAGUUUUGAAGACUUGCAGUACCUCAAAGUAUUUGGUUAAUUAUUGCUGCCUCUAAUUAUUGGCUAGAGAACAUGGAAUCUGGGAAUUAUAGAAAAGAUAUUGUAACUUACAAUUUAUUUUGCAAGAUGUUAUUUUUCACUAACAAGUAGUAAUAAUCUUGGGAGGCAUACAGAACUUUAAUGAAUUGUUAACGAUGUUACCUGUCAUUAAUGUUGCUAUUGUAUGUGAUUUUCACUUGAAUCUUGCAUAAUCUGUAAAUAUGUAGGAGUUAAACUUUAAAAUGAUUUACACGAAGACCGUAACGACUAACAAUAUAAGUUUUAGGUUUGGACAAUAAUCUGUGUAUAUGAUCCAG